rnacentral:tRNA from 1 species
GCCACCUUAGCUCAGUUGGUAGAGCACAGCUUUCGUAAAGCUGGGGUCCGCGGUUCAAUCCCGCGAGGUGGCUUCA